rnacentral:rRNA from 1 species
GGGGCCCGCACAAGCGUGGAGCAUGUGGUUUAAUUCGAUGCAACGCGAAGAACCUUACCUGGUCUUGACAUCCACAGAACUUUCCAGAGAUGGAUUGGUGCCUUCGGGAACUGUGAGACAGGUGCUGCAUGGCUGUCGUCAGCUCGUGUUGUGAAAUGUUGGGUUAAGUCCCGCAACGAGCGCAACCCUUAUCCUUUGUUGCCAGCGGUCCGGCCGGGAACUCAAAGGAGACUGCCAGUGAUAAACUGGAGGAAGGUGGGAUGACGUCAAGUCAUCAUGGCCCUUACGACCAGGGCUACACACGUGCUACAAUGGCGCAUACAAAGAGAAGCGACCUCGCGAGAGCAAGCGGACCUCAUAAAGUGCGUCGUAGUCCGGAUUGGAGUCUGCAACUCGACUCCAUGAAGUCGGAAUCGCUAGUAAUCGUGGAUCAGAAUGCCACGGUGAAUACGUUCCCGGGCCUU